rnacentral:rRNA from 1 species
UGUAGGCGGGGAUACAAGUCAGAUGUGAAAUACCGCAGCUUAACUGCGGGGCUGCAUCUGAAACUGUGUUUCUUGAGUGUCGGAGAGGAAAGUGGAAUUCCCAGUGUAGCGGUGAAAUGCGUAGAUAUUGGGAGGAACACCAGUGGCGAAGGCGACUUUCUGGACGAUAACUGACGCUGAGGCGCGAAAGCGUGGGGAGCAAACAGGAUUAGAUACCCUGGUAGUCCACGCUGUAAACGAUGGAUACUAGGUGUAGGAGGUAUCGACCCCUUCUGUGCCGGAGUUAACACAAUAAGUAUCCCACCUGGGGAGUACGGCCGCAAGGUUGAA